GGGAUAACUACUGGAAACGGUGGCUAAUACCGCAUAACGUCGCAAGACCAAAGAGGGGGACCUUCGGGCCUCUUGCCAUCAGAUGUGCCCAGAUGGGAUUAGCUUGUUGGUGAGGUAACGGCUCACCAAGGCGACGAUCCCUAGCUGGUCUGAGAGGAUGACCAGCCACACUGGAACUGAGACACGGUCCAGACUCCUACGGGAGGCAGCAGUGGGGAAUAUUGCACAAUGGGCGCAAGCCUGAUGCAGCCAUGCCGCGUGUAUGAAGAAGGCCUUCGGGUUGUAAAGUACUU
rnacentral:rRNA from 1 species